GGAAAAGCCCAAACCGUUAUUGUUUCGGCAUUAACGGGGUAGUAGGACUGCAAGCUUGAUGAAAUAAAUGAAAUGGAACACCUUGGAAAAUGUGAUCACAGAGGGUGAUAAUCCCGUACAUGCAAGUUUAUGAAUCAUAGCAGUAUCCUGAGUAAGUCGGGACACGUGUAAUCCUGACCGAAUCCGCCGGGACCAUCCGGCAAGGCUAAAUACUCCUGAGAGACCGAUAGUGAACCAGUACCGUGAGGGAAAGGUGAAAAGCACUUCGAACAGAAGAGUGAAAUAGUCCCUGAACCCAUACGCCUACAAGCUGUCGGAGCCGCUUCGUGCGGUGACGGCGUGCCUUUUGCAUAAUGAGCCUACGAGUUACUCAUCACCAGCGAGGUUAAGUACUUCAGGUACGUAAGCCGAAGCGAAAGCGAGUCUGAAUAGGGCGUCAAGUUGGUGGUGGUAGACGCGAAACCUUAGUGAUCUACCCAUGGGCAGGGUGAAGGUUUGGUAACACAAACUGGAGGCCCGAACCGGUAAACGUUGAAAAGUUUUCGGAUGACCUGUGGGUAGGGGUGAAAGGCCAAUCAAACUGGGAAAUAGCUCGUACUCUCCGAAAUGCAUUUAGGUGCAGCCUCUGUUGUUUUGUUCUAGAGGUAGAGCUACUGAUUGGAUGCGAGGGCUUCACCGCCUAUCAAAUCCGGCCAAACUCCGAAUGCUAGAACAUGAAGACAGGGAGUGAGCCAGCGGGUGCUAAGGUCCGUUGACGAAAGAGGGAGAACUCAGACCAUCAGCUAAGGUCCCCAAUUGUAUGCUAAGUUGGAAUUAAAACGGGGUGGGACUGCUUAGACAGCUAGGAUGUUGGCUUGGAAGCAGCCAUUCAUUUAAAGAGUGCGUAACAGCUCACUAGUCGAGCGGUCCUGCAUGGAUAAUACGCGGGCAUAAGCAUAUAACCGAAGCUAUGGGAUUGUAGAUGAUACAAUCGGUAGGAGAGCAUUCCAUUCAGCGUAGAAGCAGUAUCGUGAGGUAUUGUGGAGCGGAUGGAAAAGCAAAUGUAGGCAUAAGUAACGAUAAUGCGGGUGAGAACCCCGCACGCCGAAAGAUCAAGGAUUCCCCGGCAAUGUCAAUCAUCCGGGGGUAAGUCGGAUCCUAAGGGUAAGCCGAGUGGCGAUCCCGAUGGCAAACAGGUUAAUAUUCCUGUACUGAUCAUAACUGCGAUGCAGCGACGCAGAGGUGACACUGCUGCGUACUGACGGAAUAGUACGUUGAAACCCGUAUUCUUUGAUACCGGUAGUGAAGCACGCCGGUAGAGAUGAAAGGUGAUAGUACCGCAAUGCUUCGGUUGCGCGGAUAACGCAGGUAAGCUGACUGCCAAGAAAACCUGCUAAGCUUCAGGUAAUGAUCAUCCGUACUGUAAACGGACACACGUGAUCAGGUAGAAAAUACUAAGGCGCUCGAGAGAUUCAUGGUUAAGGAACUAGGCAAAAUGGUCCUGUAACUUCGGGAUAAAGGACGCUCUUGUGAAAGAGCCGCAGAUAAUAGGCCCAGGCGACUGUUUACCAAAAACACAUGGCUAUGCUAAUUCGCAAGAAGAUGUAUAUGGCCUGACACCUGCCCGGUGCCGGAAGGUUAAGAGGAGAGCUCAGAGGCAACUCGAAGGUUUGAAUUGAAGCCCCGGUAAACGGCGGCCGUAACUAUAACGGUCCUAAGGUAGCGAAAUUCCUUGUCGGGUAAGUUCCGACCUGCACGAAUGGUGUAACGAUCUGGGUACUGUCUCAACCAUGAGCUCGGUGAAAUUGUAGUUCCGGUGAAGAUGCCGGAUACCCGCAACGGGACGGAAAGACCCCGUGAACCUUUACUGCAGCUUUGCAUUGAUUUUGGGUAACAGAUGUGUAGGAUAGGUCGGAGGCUUUGAUGCUGGUCGUC
rnacentral:rRNA from 1 species